CUCAAACAUCACCUGCUGUCACCCAGACAUUUCUUCACACGCCACCCAGAGGAAACUGUGAUGGAUUCAGACCUGCCGAUAAGAACAGACACGACAUUUGAUCGCAGCCAAAAGGCCGGGAAUCAACUAACCUGACUGCAAAUGUGAAACGAACCUGCAAGGACGAUGAUCCUGGUCGAGGCUCGCAGAGCUCGGUCGCAACAUAAGCUGCACAAAUCCUGCAGUCCGAGUCGGAGUCCUGCCUGCUUAUGGGACACCGCAUCAUUUGGUUCAGCUCAACUUAAGCAUUGCUCUAGUACAACGUAUGCUUUCAACAUGUUUGGUAGGUGCUUCAUUCCGCAAGCAAGUGGUUCAGUGGGUGGAGAAGAGGAGGAGAAGACGAGGAGACGAAAAGAGGACAGGAGAAGGAGAGGAGGAGAGGAGGAGAGGAGAGGUUUUUCAUCAUAGUCACCCAGAACCGCUUCAUGGAGCAGGUAGGUAACUGCAAUGACUGGAGCAUUUUUUGGCACUAUAGAGUGAAACUGGGGAAAUGAUAGCGUUUCCGGUGUCAUGCAGAGACUUGCAUGCCCUGGUGCGGGAACGUGCAUCGCUCUAAACUCUAAAAACUGAAAGAAAUAUGACCGAAGAGAAGAGACAUGCGUUUCUCGGCGGAACAGCAGCGCACCCUGCGAUUUGAUGCAUCAUCCGCCCACUGACUGAAAUGUUACAUUGAUAAAACAGAGAAACUUAACUGGAUAUUUACUACUUUCUGAUUUGCAUACUGAAGUUAACAUUUCUACCGAGGUAGCUGCUUCCUUGUUCCCUCCGCAUUUACAGUGGUAUGUUGCUUUUUAUUUUAUUUUUAGUAUUUUUUAUUAGGUCUUUUAUUUAUUUUAUUAAGCUGCAGUUGUUUUCACAGGAUUACAAACUUCAACCUGAAGAAGCACUUUAUGCAUUACUGGACCAACAUGCCUCCCAGCUCCAGAGCUCAUUUAGGAAGAAAGCUGCUUACACCGGAAAAGUGAAUGAUGUUCUGUCUCAGCUCUUCAGAACACAUGAUGUCCAGGAAUGCUGAUAUUCACGAAUGACUUGCUGUUCUUCACACCAUUUCUCCCUAUUUGCACAAAGACUCCUCCACCUUCAUCAAAACGUGGGAUGUAAGUUUUCAGCAAAUUUACCAAUAUCCUUUAUUAACCUUGUUCAUAUUUCCCAAAACAUAACACUUUGAAAGUGUGAGAGAAAGUAUCUCCAUCCCUUGGGUCUGUCUACAACAUUGUCCAAGUAAUGUCAUCAAAAACAACUAUUUAUGCUAGUCCUUAAGAUUAUCAUAAAUAAUGUUAGUAAUUUAAGACUGUCAAUGCCAACUGUCAUUUAUUGUCAUAUGUUAUUAUUAUUUUUACUUUAUUAUUUGAAUUUUUAUUGUAUAUUAUGUUGGGACAAACAAAAUGUUCCCCCAUAGGGGAUCUUUAUCUUAUCUUGUCUUGUAAUUUUCUAACCCAACCAAAGAUCACUGUACAGUUUACACUGCUUAAAAUUGGAUUUCCAAUGUGACUGUUCCAAUGUCACAGGACAAUGUGACUUUUCUGAAAAUUUGUUGUAUUUUGGCUUGUUGUAGUUGAAACAAUUCAUUUCUGAGCUAGAUGUAAUCCAGAAAUGUAAUUUGUAUUGAUGAGACUAAGAGGAACAGGAAUGGUCUAACAAGGAGAAUUGACACAGUCCAAUUAACCAAACUGUGGGAGGAAGCCAGAGUACCCGGAGAGAACCCACCAUGCACAGGGAGAACAUGCAAACUCCAUGCAGAAAGACCCCGGGGUGCGAAUUGAACCCAGAACCUUCUUGCUGCAAGGCAACAGUGCUUCCAACUUUGCCACUGUGCUGUCCACCUUGCUUCUGAAUCACCAAAAUGUUUGUCCUGCACAUUCAGCUUUAUUCAGAAAGUCUUGAUGAGGUGGAGGAUGGAAAGUUGAAGCCCAGAGUUUGAAGUCUUAAGAAUGACUUGUUAGCAGCAGAAUAAUGUCCAGCCUUGAAGUGUUUGUUAAAUCAAGUUUUUCAGGAUAUCAAUUUUCAGUCUGGAGAAAUUUGAAAAAAUUAGAAUAGAGAAAAUGUUAUUUGAAGAAUUUACUUUGUAUUCAUCACUGAACUGACCAUAUUCUCCCACUAGCUCAGGUUAUAACAGGAAAUAAUAUUAGCUACCAUAACUAUGCAGAUGACACACAGCUCUACAUUAUGAUGUCACCAGGUGACCUUUGACCCCAUCCAAUCACUGAAUAAAUGUUUAGAACAGAUAAAUGUGUGGAUGUGCCAAAACUUUCUCCAGCUGAACAGAAACAAAACUGAAGUCAUUAUUUUUGGACCUAAAGAGGAACGAUCUAGAG